CGUCACCAUUUUGCAGUCGAUAUAAAGGAGUUUAGGCAAGACGCGCUCAUUAAAAAACAUGAACUUGAUGCGAUAUCCUGCACCGGCAUGAAAUGCUACAUCUAUUCACAGCGAUAAUAUGGGACCCUCAAGCCGUGCUUCCUCAUGGUUAGCAAGCUCUUGGGAUAGUAUGGCCCUGUCCAGAUACUCGGCUGCUUCAUUCACGGAAGUCAAGGCAGACAGAAUUGUACCUCUUGAUGGCUACUUUCUCACCUGGCUGCAAGAGUGGGAGGUUGGAGUAGCAAGAAAAUGAGGCACAGAAGGCAUUGCAUGCCACACUCGUUCGCUCGGCAGUGUAAAAGCCCACUGCAUAAAUGGCUCGUAGUUAUAUGAACUCUACAGUGACUACUCGCCACUUGCAAGUGGAAACAUGAUUGUAGCUAGUAAGAUGUGAACAGAAAAAAGUUCAUUAGUCUUGGGUUUGAUGUACCGUUAAGCACAGUACAUACGUGGUUUAUAAAAAGUUUUGAUAAAAUU